CCCCUUUCAGUGCACCCCACAGAGGCCACGCUCACAUCCCCCUACACUGUCACUGGGCCAUGAGCCAUUCCAAGCCUUCUGGAGCCUGGAAGGAUCUUCUGGUUCGUGCUUGUAGAUCCCCCGAGAUCAGCAGUGCUGGUGGAGCUGGGCAGUGAGGGACCUGCAGGAGCUCCUGCACCACAGCGAGGAAGUCCACCAGCUUGUUGAAUGGAUAGAUCCAGGAGCUGAAAUGGCUUGGCUCCAUUGUUUGGGGUGUCUCAACAGGGUUCGAGGUGGUGGGAACGUGGCUCCAGGAGACACCGGGCGAGGGCACAGACAGAAGGACCCACCAGAGCCACCGGCUUGAGAGUCAUCGUGAGUGCCUUCUCCCUGCGUCUCCCGUGGUCUCUUUAUCCCUGCAUGAUCCAGGUGGUCCAGCACCCAGUCAAGGGGUCCAGCACCCAUCCAUGGGGGUUGAUCUCCCAUCCAUGGGGUCUAUCACCCAUCCAUGGUGUCCAUCACCCAUCUACGUGGUCCAUCACCUGUCCAGGUGGUCCAUCACCCAUCCAUGUUGCCCAGCACCUAUCCACUUGGUCCAGCACCCCUCCAUGGGGCCCAGCACCCUCCCGUGG